rnacentral:tRNA from 1 species
AGAUUCUUAGGUUAUAUAGACCAUAAGCCUUCAAAGCUUAUAGAGAAAAGUUUUUUCAGAUUCUG